GAACAGACAGCGCGUCGGGCUGGGUUAGGGGCUACCCCCCUCCGUGCAGGGCUUGGCCCUCUCCCUGGCCGUCCCGUGCUCCUUACUCAGCGGCUCCCAGCCAGGGCCCUGUGCUGAGCGGUGCGCCUUUGGAUUUCCAUGACCUUGCUCCAUAGAGGAGGACAGACAUGAUGCAGGUGUUAAAAAUGUAUAUUUUUAUGUAAUGUCAAUGUCAAUAAUGCUACUUUUCCAAAUCUUUUCAUUUUGCUGCUUUUGAUAUUGUCGUUUGACAUCUAACAUGGUGUCACCAUCAUUGCACGUACCACUCCUUAUAUGGGUAAAAUGACUUGUAAUAUUUCUUUAUCUACUCUAAUGGUUACUUUUGCAACACUGAUAGCCUUAUAUUUUAUCUUCCCCUUGUUGAUGAACAGACCAAUUUGUUUUGUUGUACCUGCCAAAAACUGAGUCUCUUUUUCCAUUAAGUGACAUGUAGAACUAAGCAGAACAAUGUCAUCAGCAAAAAUGCGGUCCUCCAGUUGUGGUUUAUCAUUUAUCCAUAAAAAUGAUAUGCUAUUAUGGGUCCUUUAUAAAAGCAAUAACUCUGUAUAGAGGAGACCGUAACAGCAAUGUCUCUCCCACAUAAGAAGUCAAAGUCCGUCUGUCUUGCACAGAAAUAAUCCCCUCUCUUUCUUUGGGAAUAUAUGGCAAGGCAAACUAGUUCUCUUCCUGUCUUGUAGCUAGCUGGAAGUCCAAAUAACUAUGCUGCUUCAUUUAAAAAUGCAUUUUAUUGCAAAAACAUUUUACGCUAUUUGUUUAAACAAGAAUUAAUUAUAGCAGUUGACACUAGUUUUAAUAAUAUAAUGUAUGGAAUUGACUUAAAUUAAGAUCAAAGUAACCUUCACAAGGUUUGAUUUCAAAAAGAAAACAAAACAAAAAAACACUUUAAUGAAAAUAAAAUCAGUGGACUCCCUUAGAAAAGGAUAGACAACUCAUUUUUCUCUUUUUUAUCAGUAGCAGCAGAACCUUGAUCAUUUACGUUAAUGACCCAGCAGCCCAUUUCUGAUAAACUUUCCAAAUUAGCAAACAAGCGCAACUUUAAGAAAAAUCAAGGAUAUUGCAUUUUUAUUCAGUUAUGCUGCCGUGUAUUUUAGUUUUAAUUAUUUAUAUUUCAGCAUGUUACUAAAUGUUGUCAUGUUUACUAAGAUCUCAUUAUUAUUUUUUUGAAUGUGAGGCCUCGCUGAAUCUCUCUGUUGUUAAAUCUGUUGUUGAAAAGGGAGAUGAGGUGCCAAAUCCUCGCUGAUAUCAACUCACAAGAUUGGGCCCUUUUUUGUAAAAAUUAUCCAGAAGCCCUAUGCCUGCUCCUACACGUUCUUUGUGCACGGAACUAUCAUUGAAGUCAUGAUUAAUGUUUUAAACUGGUUUGUGGAAAUAUAAAUGUAAUUGAGUUGGGAAACCCAAGAUCAAGCAAGUAGCAUAACAGGUUUUCCAAAGGAGGUAACUUAUUCACAUGCACUCUGGGAGCAUGUUCCUGCAUGGUACUAAGCACCUCCUAAGAGGCCCUGAAUGCUCUCAAUUCCCAUUAACAUCAAUUAAAGUCACUCUGAGCCUUGUGGGAUCAGGUGCAUUCAAAGCAAGGGUAGGCUAGUAUUUGAAAAUCAUAGCCUACACCCCAUUUGGCUGUGCCAGGGGAUUGGUGAUGAUGACUCAGAAGUUCCUUGCAACUCUAUAAUUUCUUACUCAAAUUGGACUUUCACUGAGCUUUCCCACAGAAAAUUCUUACAAAAUCUGAGCUAAAUAAUGAGCUAUACAAUGUGCAAAUGUGACUCAGAUUUUUGGUUUUUAUUUCUGUUUUGGGUUGGGGAAAUUUGACAGGACAGUGAGUCCUCUUGCACCUAAUACAUAAUCUUGGCAGAACUAAUUUUUUAAUUUUUAUAAUUUUGACAGUUAAGCAUUUUGUAAAUUUUAUUGCUUCAAUUUUUCACAGUUGUGGGAAAUUAUGGGGUGGAUUCAGACAACAGGAUGGGUUAGACAGUAAUUACUGUCAGUAGACAUUAAUUUUAAAAGUUAAACUUUAUAACAGUUAAAAUAUAUUGUCAAAAUAUACAAAAUAAAUAAAGUUCUCAAGCAGUA